GUGUCAUUGCCCGAGUGGUUUAAGGGGCUAGUUUUAGGCACUAGUGUAGUAAUACGCGUGGGUUCGAACCCCACAUGACACA
rfam:Polysphondylium pallidum PN500 unplaced genomic scaffold PPL_contig9, whole genome shotgun sequence.